AUUGAACGCUGGCGGCAGGCCUAACACAUGCAAGUCGAACGGUAACAGGAAGCAGCUUGCUGCUUUGCUGACGAGUGGCGGACGGGUGAGUAAUGUCUGGGAAACUGCCCGAUGGAGGGGGAUAACUACUGGAAACGGUAGCUAAUACCGCAUAACGUCGCAAGGCCAAAGAGGGGGACCUUAGGGCCUCUUGCCAUCGGAUGUGCCCAGAUGGGAUUAGCUAGUAGGUGGGGUAACGGUUCACCUAGGCGACGAUCCCUAGCUGGUCUGAGAGGAUGACCAGCCACACUGGAACUGAGACACGGUCCAGACUCCUACGGGAGGCAGCAGUGGGGAAUAUUGCACAAUGGGCGCAAGCCUGAUGCAGCCAUGCCGCGUGUAUGAAGAAGGCCUUCGGGUUGUAAAGUACUUUCAGCGGGGAGGAAGGGAGUAAAGUUAAUACCUUUGCUCAUUGACGUUACCCGCAGAAGAAGCACCGGCUAACUCCGUG
rnacentral:rRNA from 1 species